CAUACGAUAAACGGUGAGUUAUUAGUAUUAAUUAAUUUAAUAAUAAAUGCUAAAAUAAAUUUAAAUUGAGCUUACUGAAGCUUCCGUAAGAUUAGAUUGUUGGUAAGUUAAGAGCUUUACCAAGUCUAUGAUCUUUAGUUGAUUUUAGCGAAUGUACAACCACAUUGGGACUGAAACAAGGCCCAAGCUCUUUUUUGGAGGCAGCAGUGAGGAAUAUUGGACAAUGAACGAAAGUUUGAUCCAGCAAUACCACAUGGGUGAUGAAUGUUAAUUUUAUUGUAAAAUCCUUUCACCAAAGAAGACAAUGACAUCAUUUGGAAAAGAAGUCCCGACUAACUUCGUGCCAGCAGUCGCGGUAAUACGGAGGGGGCUAGCGUUAUUCUACGUUACUGGGUGUAAAGUGUAUUUAGGCGGUCUUUAAAGUUUUUGUUAAAAAGAUAAAGCUUAACUUUAUUAAUGGCAAUAAUUACUGAUUGACUUAGAGUUUAUUAAAAAAUAGCUGUAUAUACUGUGUAGAGGUAAAAUUCUUAGAUAUAGUAUGGACAAUCAAGAGGCGAAGGCUGCUAUUUGUAAUAAACUGACGCUGAUAUACAAAAGCAUGGGGAGCAAACAGGAUUUGAUACCCUGGUAGUCCAUGCUGUGACCGAUGAGCAUUGAAAAUAGCAAUUUGAUAUUUUUAAGUGAAAACGUUAAAUGCUCCACCUGGGGACUACGGCCGCAAGGCUAAAACUCAAAGGAAUUGACUGAGGCUUGUACAAACGGUGGAACAUGUGGUUUAAUUCGAUAAAAAUCGUCUAAUCUUACCAAUCUUUGAUAUAUAAAAUAGUUAUAAUAAAUUCUAACCGAAUUUAUUAAUUUUUAUACAGGUGUUGCAUGGCUGUCGUCAGUUCGUGUCGUGAGAUGUAUGGUUAAUUGCUGCAACGGGCGCAACCCUUAUUUAUUUAGUAAAUAAAAACUGCUUGUGAAAUACAAGAAGAAGGUAAGGAUUAAGUCAAGUCAGUAUGACCCUAAUAGAUUGGGCUACACACGUGUUACAUUGGUAAUUACAAUUACAAAGUUUUAUGAGAGUAAAACUAAGACUAAAAAAAUUACCUUAGUUCGGAUUAUAAACUGUAACUCGUUUAUAUGAAGCAGGAAUCGUUAGUAAUCGCAAAUCGGAAAGUUGCGGUGAAUAUGUAUUUUAGCCUAGU
rnacentral:rRNA from 1 species